GAUGAACGCUGGCGGCGUGCCUAAUACAUGCAAGUCGAGCGAACAGACGAGGAGCUUGCUCCUUCGACGUUAGCGGCGGACGGGUGAGUAACACGUAGGUAACCUACCUAUAAGACUGGGAUAACUUCGGGAAACCGGAGCUAAUACCGGAUAAUAUUUCGAACCGCAUGGUUCGAUAGUGAAAGAUGGCUUUGCUAUCACUUAUAGAUGGACCUGCGCCGUAUUAGCUAGUUGGUAAGGUAACGGCUUACCAAGGCAACGAUACGUAGCCGACCUGAGAGGGUGAUCGGCCACACUGGAACUGAGACACGGUCCGGACUCCUACGGGAGGCAGCAGUAGGGAAUCUUCCGCAAUGGGCGAAAGCCUGACGGAGCAACGCCGCGUGAGUGAUGAAGGUCUUCGGAUCGUAAAACUCUGUUAUUAGGGAAGAACAAACGUGUAAGUAACUGUGCACGUCUUGACGGUACCUAAUCAGAAAGCCACGGCUAACUACGUG
rnacentral:rRNA from 1 species